rnacentral:sRNA from 1 species
AAUCAAAUAUACCUUGCAUGCAAUAUCGUAUGGCACACCGAAAUAAAAGACUGAUACUCAUCGGGUGACCGUUAAAACCCAUGGAUCUCUUGUUUUUAUCAUCAUACAAAUACCACUCAACGUUAAAAUACACCCGGGAGUUUGGUAAACCAUGGACUUUUUUUCACAGUCCGGACUUAAUGGACUCCAAUGGUGCAAAAAAUAUAUAAAUACAGCAUGCAUGUUCCAUCAGCUGUCCACAGCCAGCUGUUUAUUUUCAUUAUUUAUGAUGUCUCUCAUAUUCCAUAUUUACUAGAAGACGGUCUGCAACUUCGUAUAAGUGCUCAUACAGCAAUUGUUACGUGAUUGUACGUAUAACGCGAACGCAAUGGAAAACAAUGAAAAACUGCGUUAUUUAUUUGCUAAAAUCAAAAUC